UACGAAGGGGGCUAGCGUUGCUCGGAAUCACUGGGCGUAAAGGAUGCGUAGGCGGGUCUUUAAGUCAGGGGUGAAAUCCUGGAGCUCAACUCCAGAACUGCCUUUGAUACUGAAGAUCUUGAGUUCGGGAGAGGUGAGUGGAACUGCGAGUGUAGAGGUGAAAUUCGUAGAUAUUCGGAGGAACACCAGUGGCGAAGGCGGCUCACUGGUCCAUUACUGACGCUGAGGUGCGAAAGCGUGGGGAGCAAACGGG
rnacentral:rRNA from 1 species